GAUCACCUGACACCACUAAGCUAACACCAUCGGUCGCUACUCGCCAACGAGCUUCAUAAAUGCUCCCAGUUUAUUCGACUUUGCUCCCUUAUCUAAAAUUAUCGCGGGAGCGUUCGUCCAAAGAAAUUGACACGCCAUAUGUCCGUGCAAUUCUCGGUUUCUUCUGUGUUCCUCUUUUUCUCCCGGCAGCAAAUUGUUUUUCUGCUCUGUCCUAAAACCCGCGAAAAAAGGUCCGAGGAAAAAAGUUAUCACAGAUUGUUCUGAGAAAUGGGUUCGGUGUUAUUCUCAAAUCCAACCCUGAUAAUGGCAGAGCUAAAGUAUGUAGGCCAUUAUAAAAUAGGAAACUCGGGCAGCCUGAAUCUUUAUUUUAAACCCAAAUUCCAUCACAAACAUGAGCUCCGACUUUCCAGAUUUCCAAGUCUUCUUUCUCCUUCAAACACCCAGUACAAUAUAGAAGGCGACCCAGAAGAAGAUUCUGUUCAACACCUUAGGGUCCCAAGCAGUUGGUUAGACCCUUCGCAAGCCUUGGAGAAGUGCAGGAAUCAGAAUGGCUAAGGGUGACUCUUCAUAAGUGGUUGGAUGAUGAAUACUGUCCCGAGGAAACGAACAUCAAAAUUAGUGAGGUUGCUAGCCACUCAUUUUACAAGUCGUUGAUGGAGAAAAAAACUGACCUGGGCGAAAUAUUGUUGGAAAUGGUUCAGGAAUUGGGUUCUAUAUCCUAUCAGGAGAGCUUUCAUGGAGCAUUUUCAUCAGCAAAUGCAGCUGUUGAUCUCAUAAUUCAACGGAUACAGCAGGAUUAGAUUCCUGGCUAGAAAGAAGCACAUCUCUAACAUCAUUGGUUGUUGCAGCAUAUUGAAAGGUAUGCUGAUAAAAUACAGAAUGACAUUACUGCAAGUAUCUGCACCUUAAAAAUCUGACUUUAUUUCUUGUCUAUGGAUGGGGGUCUGAGUUAAAUGCCAUACAAUCCUUGACUGCAAUACGGAAUGUUUUCAUUAACAUUAUUAAGGACAGGUGGUGGAAAUUAUGAAAUCAAUUUAUCCAUUUCUGGCAUGAAUGUUGUAAUUAGAAAUGCAAAUGACGAGUUACCAACAUUAAUUUUCUGAAUAGUUCUGGCCUGCAGUUAUUCUGCCAAGAGGACCUGAACCAUUAUAUUUUCUGGAAAAUUAUGCCGUUCUGUUACUUCCCAAACCCCUUCCCCCCUCUCCCCAAAAAAAAAAAAAAAAAUCCCCCAAACCCCAUUGUGUCUUUCAGGUAUCCUCCCUCUUUUCUUUCCCCUGAUAUCUAUACCUACUUCUUCUUCUACUACUUUCUACUUACCACCCAACAUUGCCCUGUCAUUCCCAAGGAUGGUAAAACAGGGUUGAUGACAUUAUUAUGAUGUUCAAGCGAUUUCACAAGUUUAAUCACCAAUUGCAGGAUUCCUGACAAUGAUCCAUCAGGCUAAGAUUAUGACACACAUGCCGGGUCUGUAUAUUAGCGACCUAGAUGCAUAUUUCUUCCUUCUAUUAUGAAAUUAAAUUUCAGUUCCUACUUCCUGUAUAUUUAACAUGCAUUCGUGUCCGUUCGGUGACACUGUAAUAAAGAUUGAUCCAUCCUGCAUCCAUAUCUUGAACAUAUAAGGUCAAACUGAUGACAUGCUUAUUGCUUAGUUUGUAAUUACCUGGGUCUUAGUUAA